rnacentral:rRNA from 1 species
GAUGAACGCUGGCGGCGUGCCUAAUACAUGCAAGUCGAGCGAACAGACGAGGAGCUUGCUCCUCUGACGUUAGCGGCGGACGGGUGAGUAACACGUGGAUAACCUACCUAUAAGACUGGGAUAACUUCGGGAAACCGGAGCUAAUACCGGAUAAUAUAUUGAACCGCAUGGUUCAAUAGUGAAAGACGGUUUUGCUGUCACUUAUAGAUGGAUCCGCGCCGCAUUAGCUAGUUGGUAAGGUAACGGCUUACCAAGGCAACGAUGCGUAGCCGACCUGAGAGGGUGAACGGCAACACUGGAACUGAGACACGGUCCAGACUCCUACGGGAGGCAGCAGUAGGGAAUCUUCCGAAAUGGGCGAAAGCCUGACGGAGCAACGACGCGUGAGUGAUGAAGGUCUUCGAAUCGUAAAACUCUGUUAUUAGGGAAGAACAAAUGUGUAAGUAACAAUGCACGUCUUGACGGUACCUAAUCAGAAAGCCACGGCUAACUACGUG